rnacentral:rRNA from 1 species
UACGGAGGGUGCGAGCGUUGUCCGGAAUCACUGGGCGUAAAGGGCGCGUAGGCGGCCUGAUAAGUAGGGGGUGAAAUCCUGCGGCUUAACCGCAGGGCUGCCUUCUAAACUGUCAGGCUGGAGCACAGUAGAGGCAGGUGGAAUUCCCGGUGUAGCGGUGGAAUGCGUAGAGAUCGGGAAGAACAUCAGUGGCGAAGGCGGCCUGCUGGGCUGUUGCUGACGCUGAGGCGCGACAGCGGUGGGG